CUGUGGCUGUGGGCAUCACACAAGGCAGCGGCAAGUGGGAAGAUCACUACUGACUUGACAUCUUCAGCUCUCUUUACAGAAAGAAAUACAGCUGGACUCCACGUGCCUCCUGACAGGCUUAUAUAAGACUGCCUAUGAGAUGUUUUUGCAUGAAAAGUGGGAUAAAAUAAAACUAUCAUCCAAAUCUCACCAAAACUCCAGGCCUAACAACCAAUUUACAGAAAAUACGGGAUUCAAGGGAAUUACUCAGCUGGUAUACAGCAAAAUGUAGACUGUAAAACAUCUUUUUAGGACAAACCACCCAGAUUCUUCAGCAAAUACAAUGCAAGAAAAAAGGGCAAGCAAGGAGAUCCAGUGACUCGUGC
ensembl:lncRNA